GAUGAACGCUGGCGGCGUGCCUAAUACACGCAAGUCGAGCGAACAGACGAGGAGCUUGCUCCUCUGACGUUAGCGGCGGACGGGUGAGUAACACGUGGAUAACCUACCUAUAAGACUGGGAUAACUUCGGGAAACCGGAGCUAAUACCGGAUAAUAUAUUGAACCGCAUGGUUCAAUAGUGAAAGACGGUUUUGCUGUCACUUAUAGAUGGAUCCGCGCCGCAUUAGCUAGUUGGUAAGGUAACGGCUUACCAAGGCGACGAUGCGUAGCCGACCUGAGAGGGUGAUCGGCCACACUGGAACUGAGACACGGUCCAGACUCCUACGGGAGGCAGCAGUAGGGAAUCUUCCGCAGUGGGCGAAAGCCUGACGGAGCAACGCCGCGUGAGUGAUGAAGGUCUUCGGAUCGUAAAACUCUGUUAUUAGGGAAGAACAAAUGUGUAAGUAACUAUGCACGUCUUGACGGUACCUAAUCAGAAAGCCACGGCUAACUACGUG
rnacentral:rRNA from 1 species